rnacentral:misc_RNA from 1 species
AGAAGAUAAUACAGAGUAAAAUUGGCCAAAAUUGUGUAGUUCAAAGCCGCCAUUGUUAUGGAGAAACUCAUCUAUUCAACAACCCAAUGUCCCUCUAAACUCCAUCACCAAAAUCGUUCUCAUCCUCUUCUUCCCACUAGAAUUCGUCAUGUAGAUUUUAAGCUCCCUUCACUGUUACGUCUUGAGUCGCGUCGAGUCAACUCGUUAUCCAUCAAGUGCUCCCAUGAUUCUUCUUCAUCAUUUUCCGGAACCCAGAAUGGGUAUGAGGAAAACCCAUUUGUAUUUCCG